rnacentral:rRNA from 1 species
UACGUAGGGGGCAAGCGUUGUCCGGAAUCAUUGGGCGUAAAGAGCGUGUAGGCGGUUCGGGUAAGUCUGCUGUGAAAGUCCAGGGCUCAACCCUGGAAAGCCGGGUGGAUACUGUCGGACUAGAGUGCGGAAGAGGCGAGUGGAAUUCCCGGGUGUAGCGGUGAAAUGCGCAGAUAUCGGGAGGAACACCUAUUGCGAAGGCAGCUCGCUGGGACGUUACUGACGCUGAGACGCGAAAGCGUGGGGAGCAAACAGG